AUACGUAGGGAGCGAGCGUUGUCCGGAAUUACUGGGCGUAAAGGGCGCGUAGGCGGCGCUUCAAGUCGUCUGUCAAAUGGGAGGGCUUAACCCUUUUUCGCAGACGAAACUGGAGAGCUUGAGAAGCAGAGAGGCAAACAGAAUUCCUGGUGUAGCGGUGAAAUGCGUGGAUAUCAGGAAGAAUACCAGUGGCGAAGGCGGUUUGCUGGCUGCAUACUGACGCUGAAGCGCGAAAGCCAGGGGAGCAAACGGGAUUAGAUACCCCGGUAGUCCUGGCAGUAAACGAUGUAUGCUGGGUGUGAGACUAGCGAUAGUUUCGUGCCGAAGUUAACGCGAUAAGCAUACCGCCUGGGGAGUACGGUCGCAAGAUUGAAACUCAAAGGAAUUGACGGGG
rnacentral:rRNA from 1 species